AAGACUAUAGACCUGCGGAGUACCUGCGGAAGGAUCAUUAACGAGUGUAACUUACCCUUUUUUUUAAAAGAGGGUAGUACCUCCUGUCCUUUGUAGGCCCCUUUUUAUUGGGGGGCUUUUUAAGACUUUCUGCUUCGGCGGGGUUAUUCCCGCCGGAACACCCUCAAAAAACUCUUCAAAAACUAAUUCAGUCCGAGAAUUUUUGAAAAUAAAAAAAACUUUCAACAACGGAUCUCUAGA
rnacentral:misc_RNA from 1 species